GAGAAUCGUAGCGGGAAUGUUUUCGUGUGAUUUCACCAUUGCUUCAGCAAUUGCUUUACGCAUUGUCGUGAUCGCAAUCGUUUCCUCACCACUAGGUGCUGCUGCAGAUGCUGGAGCUGGAGUGGGAGUUGGAGCGGAUGUAGGUUGUACUACAGGAGCUGGUGUUGGUUGGGGCGCACUUGGCUGCACACCAAAAAUAGGAAACACACUGUUCGAUACCUUAAUUUCACCCACUACCGAGGCACCCGCCUCUUCCACUACUGGUUCGGUGGUUACAGGUGCUGGUGUUGGGGUAAAUGUUGGGGUUGGGGCAGGAGCUGGUGCAGAUACUGGUUGGGGCGCAGCAGGUGCAGCAGCACCAGCGCCAUCAUCAAUAACGGCCAUCACCUGACCAAUGUGCACCACAUCACCAACAUUAGUGGUAAUGGCGGUAAUAACCCCAGCAUAAGGGGAUGGAAGUUCGGUGGUUACCUUAUCGGUUUCCACUACAAAAAGGGCUUCAUCGACCUUGAUCGUAUCGCCCACUUUUUUGAGGAUUUCAGUUA
rnacentral:sRNA from 1 species